AGGCACUUCCGGGCGCGGAACCUGCGUCUCCUGUCUCCUUCCGGGUGAGGUGGGUGUCCCUUGGGUCGCCGCCCACCGUGCCUGGCGUUCAGUGAGUCACCGGCUUUAUUAUAAAAACGAUGCUGCUGAGAUGUGAGGAGGACUAGACCGCUCAUUAGCAGCAGGUCUAGAGAAUUCGAAGUUAAAUCCAGACCCACUGCCUCCACGUUCAUCAUCUCACUGCCCUGCACUUUGACAGCUGAUGUGGAGGACCUGGGAGGAUAUGGCCGCAGGACGCAACAGUCUCCUCAGCUCUGGGGAGCAGAGCAUGGUCCUGGCAAAUAAGAAGCUCACACAUUAUCGGGGAGGACCUCUCUGUCCAGGAACAUCCCUAAUGAGGUACAGAAAGGCACUUACCACCCAGACACAGACAUUCCGCUGCUGUGAGAACCGCAGACGGAAGUUUUCUCUGCCUCCUGGAGACGAAGCCAAGCUUUCUCCUCGCGGAAGCCAUGAGGAUUGCUGUCUUCCUCUGGACCAUUCUUCUCUCUCUGAGCCAAGUUCCACCAGCCGGGGGCAAAUUCAAGGAGAUCUGUGAGCGUCCAAACGGCUCCUGCCAAGUAUUCUGCCUCGAAACAGAAGUCCAGGCUGGGAGAUGUCUAAGCGGCAAGCCGUGCUGCCUGCCCAUGGGACAUGAACCACGGAUCGACCCGACGAUACCCCCUCAGUACUGAGGCCUUUCAAAGGGUUUUGCUUGUUUGGAUGUUUCAUUCUCUGGUUCUCCAUCCCCAUCUCUCACUGUCUUGUCUGUCACAGGGAUUCUUGCUGAGUCCUCAAUAAAUAAUAAAGAAGCACUCGCAAACACAGAGCCACUGUGUACACCCAUGUGCUCUAUUCUCGCUG